rnacentral:rRNA from 1 species
UGGGGAAUUUUGGACAAUGGGCGAAAGCCUGAUCCAGCAAUGCCGCGUGUGUGAAGAAGGCCUUCGGGUUGUAAAGCACUUUUGUCCGGAAAGAAAUCCUUGGCUCUAAUACAGUCGGGGGAUGACGGUACCGGAAGAAUAAGCACCGGCUAACUACGUGCCAGCAGCCGCGGUAAUACGUAGGGUGCAAGCGUUAAUCGGAAUUACUGGGCGUAAAGCGUGCGCAGGCGGUUUGCUAAGACCGAUGUGAAAUCCCCGGGCUCAACCUGGGAACUGCAUUGGUGACUGGCAGGCUAGAGUAUGGCAGAGGGGGGUAGAAUUCCACGUGUAGCAGUGAAAUGCGUAGAGAUGUGGAGGAAUACCGAUGGCGAAGGCAGCCCCCUGGGCCAAUACUGACGCUCAUGCACGAAAGCGUGGGGAGCAAACAGGAUUAGAUACCCUGGUGAGUCCACGCCCUAAACGAUGUCAACUAGUUGUUGGGGAUUCAUUUCCUUAGUAACGUAGCUAACGCGUGAAGUUGACCGCCUGGGGAGUACGGUCGCAAGAUUAAAACUUAAAGGAAUUGACGGGGUCAUAGCUGUUUCCU